rnacentral:rRNA from 1 species
CACGUAGGGGGCUAGCGUUGUCCGGAAUCAUUGGGCGUAAAGCGCGUGUAGGCGGUCCGGUAAGUCCGCUGUGAAAGUCGGGGGCUCAACCCUCGGAUGCCGGUGGAUACUGUCGGGCUUGAGUACGGAAGAGGCGAGUGGAAUUCCUGGUGUAGCGGCGAAAUGCGCAGAUAUCAGGAGGAACACCAAUGGCGAAGGCAGCACUCUGGGACGUGACUGACGCUGAGACGCGAAAGCGUGGGGAGCAAACAGG